UGUCCAGUAGCACCUUAAAGACCAACUAAGUUUGUUCUUGGUAUGAGCUUUCGUGAGCAUGCACACUUCUUCAGAGUAUCAAGAACAAACUUAGUUGGUCUCUAUGGUGCUACUGGACU